GACGAACGCUGGCGGCGUGCUUAACACAUGCAAGUCGAACGGAAAGGCCUGCUUUCCCUUGUGGAUUGCGGGUACUCGAGUGGCGAACGGGUGAGUAACACGUGAGUGAUCUGCCCCCAACUUGGGUAUAAGCCUGGGAAACUGGGUCUAAUUCCCGAUAGGACUGCAGGGUGGUGCCUGUGGUGGAAAACGAUUUUCUAGUGGUUGGGGAUGAGCUCGCGGCCUAUCAGCUUGUUGGUGGGGUAAUGGCCUACCAAGGCGGCGACGGGUAGCCGGCCUGAGAGGGUGGACGGCCACAUUGAGACUGAGAUACGGCCCAGGCUCCUACGGGAGGCAGCAGUGGGGAAUGUUGGACAAUGGGGGGAAGCCUGAUGCAGCGACGCCGCGUGGAGGAUGACGGCCUUCGGGUUGUAAGCUCCUUUCGACCGCGAGGAAGCCACCUGGUUGGAAGGGUGGUGACGGUAGUGGUAGAAGAAGCACCGGCUAACUACGUG
rnacentral:rRNA from 1 species